rnacentral:rRNA from 1 species
GGGUUGUGAGGUUAAGCGACUAAGCGUACACGGUGGAUGCCCUGGCAGUCAGAGGCGAUGAAGGACGUGCUAAUCUGCGAAAAGCGUCGGUAAGGUGAUAUGAACCGUUAUAACCGGCGAUGUCCGAAUGGGGAAACCCAGUGUGAUUCGUCACACUAUCGUUAACUGAAUACAUAGGUUAACGAGGCGAACCGGGGGAACUGAAACAUCUAAGUACCCCGAGGAAAAGAAAUCAACCGAGAUUCCCCCAGUAGCGGCGAGCGAACGGGGAGCAGCCCAGAGUCUGAAUCAGCUUGUGUGUUAGUGGAACGGUCUGGAAAGUCCGACGGUACAGGGUGAUAGUCCCGUACACCAAAAUGCACAGGUUGUGAACUCGAAGAGUAGGGCGGGACACGUGGUAUCCUGUCUGAAUAUGGGGGGACCAUCCUCCAAGGCUAAAUACUCCUGACUGACCGAUAGUGAACCAGUACCGUGAGGGAAAGGCGAAAAGAACCCCGGCGAGGGGAGUGAAAAAGAACCUGAAACCGUGUACGUACAAGCAGUGGGAGCACCUUCGGGUGUGACUGCGUACCUUUUGUAUAAUGGGUCAGCGACUUAUAUUCUGUAGCAAGGUUAACCGUAUAGGGGAGCCGCAGGGAAACCGAGUCUUAACUGGGCGUUAAGUUGCAGGGUAUAGACCCGAAACCCGGUGAUCUAGCCAUGGGCAGGUUGAAGGUUGGGUAACACUAACUGGAGGACCGAACCGACUAAUGUUGAAAAAUUAGCGGAUGACUUGUGGCUGGGGGUGAAAGGCCAAUCAAACCGGGAGAUAGCUGGUUCUCCCCGAAAGCUAUUUAGGUAGCGCCUCGUGAACUCAUCUUCGGGGGUAGAGCACUGUUUCGGCUAGGGGGUCAUCCCGACUUACCAACCCGAUGCAAACUACGAAUACCGAAGAAUGUUAUCACGGGAGACACACGGCGGGUGCUAACGUCCGUCGUGAAGAGGGAAACAACCCAGACCGCCAGCUAAGGUCCCAAAGUCAUGGUUAAGUGGGAAACGAUGUGGGAAGGCACAGACAGCCGGGAUGUUGGCUUAGAAGCAGCCAUCAUUUAAAGAAAGCGUAAUAGCUCACUGGUCGAGUCGGCCUGCGCGGAAGAUGUAACGGGGCUAAACCAUGCACCGAAGCUGCGGCAGCGACACUAUGUGUUGUUGGGUAGGGGAGCGUUCUGUAAGCCUGCGAAGGUGUGCUGUGAGGCAUGCUGGAGGUAUCAGAAGUGCGAAUGCUGACAUAAGUAACGAUAAAGCGGGUGAAAAGCCCGCUCGCCGGAAGACCAAGGGUUCCUGUCCAACGUUAAUCGGGGCAGGGUGAGUCGACCCCUAAGGCGAGGCCGAAAGGCGUAGUCGAUGGGAAACAGGUUAAUAUUCCUGUACUUGGUGUUACUGCGAAGGGGGGACGGAGAAGGCUAUGUUAGCCGGGCGACGGUUGUCCCGGUUUAAGCAUGUAGGCUGAUUAUCCGGCAAAUCCGGAUAAUCAAGGCUGAGGUGUGAUGACGAGGCACUACGGUGCUGAAGUAACAAAUGCCCUGCUUCCGGGAAAAGCCUCUAAGCAUCAGGUAACAUCAAAUCGUACCCCAAACCGACACAGGUGGUCAGGUAGAGAAUACCAAGGCGCUUGAGAGAACUCGGGUGAAGGAACUAGGCAAAAUGGUGCCGUAACUUCGGGAGAAGGCACGCUGGUGUGUAGGUGAAGCCCCUGCGGGUGGAGCUGAGACCAGUCGAAGAUACCAGCUGGCUGCAACUGUUUAUUAAAAACACAGCACUGUGCAAACACGAAAGUGGACGUAUACGGUGUGACGCCUGCCCGGUGCCGGAAGGUUAAUUGAUGGGGUUAUCCGUAAGGAGAAGCUCUUGAUCGAAGCCCCGGUAAACGGCGGCCGUAACUAUAACGGUCCUAAGGUAGCGAAAUUCCUUGUCGGGUAAGUUCCGACCUGCACGAAUGGCGUAAUGAUGGCCGUGCUGUCUCCACCCGAGACUCAGUGAAAUUGAACUCGCUGUGAAGAUGCAGUGUACCCGCGGCAAGACGGAAAGACCCCGUGAACCUUUACUAUAGCUUGACACUGAACAUUGAGCCUUGAUGUGUAGGAUAGGUGGGAGGCUUUGAAGCGUGGACGCCAGUCUGCGUGGAGCCAACCUUGAAAUACCACCCUUUAAUGUUUGAUGUUCUAACGUUGGCCCCUGACCGGGGUUGCGGACAGUGUCUGGUGGGUAGUUUGACUGGGGCGGUCUCCUCCCAAAGCGUAACGGAGGAGCACGAAGGUUAGCUAAUCCUGGUCGGACAUCAGGAGGUUAGUGCAAUGGCAUAAGCUAGCUUGACUGCGAGCGUGACGGCGCGAGCAGGUGCGAAAGCAGGUCAUAGUGAUCCGGUGGUUCUGAAUGGAAGGGCCAUCGCUCAACGGAUAAAAGGUACUCCGGGGAUAACAGGCUGAUACCGCCCAAGAGUUCAUAUCGACGGCGGUGUUUGGCACCUCGAUGUCGGCUCAUCACAUCCUGGGGCUGAAGUAGGUCCCAAGGGUAUGGCUGUUCGCCAUUUAAAGUGGUACGCGAGCUGGGUUUAGAACGUCGUGAGACAGUUCGGUCCCUAUCUGCCGUGGGCGCUGGAGAAUUGAGGGGGGCUGCUCCUAGUACGAGAGGACCGGAGUGGACGCAUCACUGGUGUUCGGGUUGUCAUGCCAAUGGCACUGCCCGGUAGCUAAAUGCGGAAGAGAUAAGUGCUGAAAGCAUCUAAGCACGAAACUUGCCCCGAGAUGAGUUCUCCCUGAGACUUUAAGUCUCCUGAAGGAACGUUGAAGACGACGACGUUGAUAGGCCGGGUGUGUAAGCGCAGCGAUGCGUUGAGCUAACCGGUACUAAUGAACCGUGAGGCUUAACCUUACAACGCCGAAG